rnacentral:rRNA from 1 species
UACGUAGGGGGCAAGCGUUGUCCGGAAUCAUUGGGCGUAAAGCGCGCGUAGGCGGCCCUGUAAGUCCGUUGUGAAAGUCAAAGGCUCAACCUUUGAAAGCCGAUGGAUACUGCAGGGCUAGAGUCCGGAAGAGGCGAGUGGAAUUCCUGGUGUAGCGGUGGAAUGCGCAGAUAUCAGGAGGAACACCGAUGGCGAAGGCAGGUCUCUGGGCAUUAACUGACGCUGAGGAGCGACAGCAUGGGGAGCGAACAGG